CUCUCAAUUCCACCCUCCCGUGUUCACCAUUGCUCAUCAGACUAAACAAGAAUGGAGCGUCUUUUCUCCCGGAAAAAAGGAUGGCUGUACCAGGCUUUGAAUAAGGCGGCCGAGAGCGACAUCAGGCGGCCCAAAAGACAUAAAUGGAAGACAUGCCUUUCCAAUAAUACCACAGAAUAUAUAAAAGGCUCAGAGAAUAAUCAUGGAGUGUAAAUGCUUGGAGGAAUGCAUUCCCAUGGAUGUCAUGAAAGUUCUGUUCUAGAAGACUGAAAUCAUACAAAGGCUAAAAGCAGUACCCCACACAAUACGAAAUUGCUUGUGACAAACUUGGAACAACAAAGAUUGUGGUGUACGAAUAACCAUGUGGCGUGUCCGUUGAACUCAAGAUUGUCAGGCCAACCUGAAUAUGUAGAAUCUCAGAUGUUAAUUAAAUAAAUAAUGUACAACAACAAAAAUAAUAAACCAAGUAAAAAUUAUAACUAAAAAUAGUAUUGAAUAUUGACAAUAAUAUGUGCAAGUGUGAAAUACCAUGGAAGGAGUUACAAAAUUUCUACAAGUUAAAUAUUUCUAAAUAUAAAGGGACUUACUUGAGAGCCACGAUCGACAUUUAAAUCUUGCCCUUCCCCAAUGACCUCUGAUACUGGACGCGGUGGUAGACUGGGACUAAAAGCCAUGAGGU